rnacentral:rRNA from 1 species
GACGAACGCUGGCGGCGUGCUUAACACAUGCAAGUCGAACGGAAAGGCCCUGCUUUUGUGGGGUGCUCGAGUGGCGAACGGGUGAGUAACACGUGAGUAACCUGCCCUUGACUUUGGGAUAACUUCAGGAAACUGGGGCUAAUACCGGAUAGGAGCUCCUGCUGCAUGGUGGGGGUUGGAAAGUUUCGGCGGUUGGUGAUGGACUCGCGGCUUAUCAGCUUGUUGGUGGGGUAGUGGCUUACCAAGGCUUUGACGGGUAGCCGGCCUGAGAGGGUGACCGGCCACAUUGGGACUGAGAUACGGCCCAGACUCCGACGGGAGGCAGCAGUGGGGAAUAUUGCACAAUGGGCGGAAGCCUGAUGCAGCAACGCCGCGUGCGGGAUGACGGCCUUCGGGUUGUAAACCGCUUUCGCCUGUGACGAAGCGUGAGUGACGGUAAUGGGUAAAGAAGCACCGGCUAACUACGUG